UCAGAUUGAACGCUGGCGGCAGGCCUAACACAUGCAAGUCGAACGGAAACAUGUCUAGCUUGCUAGAUGAUGUCGAGUGGCGCACGGGUGAGUAAUACUUAGGAACAUGCCUUUGGGUGGGGGAUAACUAUUGGAAACGAUAGCUAAUACCGCAUAACGUCUACGGACCAAAGGGGGGAGCUUGCUCCUCUCGCCCAAAGAGUGGCCUAAGCGAGAUUAGCUUGUUGGUGGGGUAAAGGCUCACCAAGGCGACGAUCUCUAGCUGUUCUGAGAGGAAGAUCAGCCACACUGGGACUGAGACACGGCCCAGACUCCUACGGGAGGCAGCAGUGGGGAAUAUUGCACAAUGGAGGAAACUCUGAUGCAGCCAUGCCGCGUGUGUGAAGAAGGCCUUCGGGUUGUAAAGCACUUUCAGUUGUGAGGAAAGCUUGUUGGUUAAUACCCAUCAGGUA
rnacentral:rRNA from 1 species